UGACCCUGUGCGGGAGAGUCCUCCGGAGAACGUCCGGGGGCGCCGAAGGAGCAAAUCCUCCCCGGAAUCUCUCAGGCCCACGUACCGCACGGACGAG
rnacentral:ncRNA from 2 species